rnacentral:rRNA from 1 species
UACGUAGGGAGCAAGCGUUGUUCGGAUUUACUGGGCGUAAAGGGCGCGUAGGCGGCGCGGUAAGUCACUUGUGAAAUCUCUGAGCUUAACUCAGAACGGCCAAGUGAUACUGCAGUGCUAGAGUGCAGAAGGGGCAAUCGGAAUUCUUGGUGUAGCGGUGAAAUGCGUAGAUAUCAAGAGGAACACCUGAGGUGAAGACGGGUUGCUGGGCUGACACUGACGCUGAGGCGCGAAAGCGUGGGGAGCAAACAGG